rnacentral:rRNA from 1 species
CUACGGGACGCACCAGUAAGGAAUAUUGCGCAAUGGAGGCAACUCUGACGCAGCCAUGCCGCGUGCAGGACUGAAGGCCUUAUGGGUCGUAAACUGCUUUUAUUUAGGAAUAAACUCUUGUACGUGUACGAGACUGAAGGUACUAAAUGAAUAAGCACCGGCUAACUCCGUGCCAGCAGCCGCGGUAAUACGGAGGGUGCAAGCGUUAUCCGGAUUUAUUGGGUUUAAAGGGUGCGCAGGCGGACUAUUAAGUCAGAGGUGAAAUCCCGGAGCUCAACUUCGGAACUGCCUUUGAUACUGGUAGUCUUGAAUACGGUUGAAGUAGGCGGAGUGUAGCAUGUAGCGGUGAAAUGCAUAGAGAUGCUACAGAACACCGAUCGCGAAGGCAGCUUACUAAGCCGAUAUUGACGCUCAGGCACGAAAGCGUGGAGAGCGAACAGGAUUAGAUACCCGUGUAGUC